UAAAGACUACUUUGCAAACUAUUAAUUA
rnacentral:sRNA from 1 species